rnacentral:rRNA from 1 species
ACGGAGGGUGCAAGCGUUAUCCGGAUUUACUGGGUUUAAAUUGUGCUUCUUUUUUCCUUUAGGUCCGUGGUGAAAUCUCCGAGCUUAACUCGGAAACUGCCGUUGAUACUAUUUGUCUUGAAUAUUGUGGAGGUAAGCGGAAUAUGUCAUGUAGCGGUGAAAUGCUUAGAUAUGACAUAGAACACCAAUUGCGAAGGCAGCUUGCUACACAAUCAUUGACGCUGAGGCACGAAAGCGUGGGGAUCAAACAGGA